rnacentral:rRNA from 1 species
AGCGUGCCUUUUGUAGAAUGAACCGGCGAGUUACGAUCCCAUGCAAGGUUAAGUUGAUAAGACGGAGCCGCAGCGAAAGCGAGUCUGAAUAGGGCGACCGAGUAUGUGGUUGUAGACCCGAAACCAGGUGAUCUACCCAUGUCCAGGGUGAAGGUGAGGUAACACUUACUGGAGGCCCGAACCCACGUACGUUGAAAAGUGCGGGGAUGAGGUGUGGGUAGCGGAGAAAUUCCAAUCGAACCUGGAAAUAGCUGGUUCUCUCCGAAAUAGCUUUAGGGCUAGCGUCGAUGUUAAGUCUCUUGGAGGUAGAGCACUGUUUGAUUGAGGGGUCCAUCCCGGAUUACCGAAUUCAGACAAACUCCGAAUGCCAAUGAUUUAUACGCGGGAGUCAGACUGCGAGUGAUAAGAUCCGUAGUCAAAAGGGAAACAGCCCAGACCACCAGCUAAGGUCCCAAAGUAAUCGUUAAGUGGAAAAGGAUGUGACGUUGCUUAGACAACCAGGAUGUUGGCUCAGAAGCAGCCAUCAUUUAAAGAGUGCGUAAU